rnacentral:rRNA from 1 species
AAAAGGGUCAACAGGUUGGUGCUGUUAAGGCGGGUGAACACCUCUUCCAUUUCGCACAGAGUCGUUAAGCCCCGUACUGCCGAUGGUACUGCUGUCACAAGCGGGAGAGUAGGUAGGUGCCACCU